AUCUGUUCUUAUCAGUUUAAUAUCUGAUACGUCCCCUACCCGGGGACCAUAUAUUAAAUUGAUUUUUGGAACAGGGAGAUGGAAUAGGGGCUUGCUCCGUCCACUCCACGCAUCGACCUGGUAUUGCAGUAUUUCUAGGAACGGUGC
rnacentral:snRNA from 1 species